rnacentral:rRNA from 1 species
GACGAACGCUGGCGGCGUGCUUAACACAUGCAAGUCGAACGGAGUGGCGAACGGGUGAGUAACACGUGGGUGACCUGCCCUGCACUUCGGGAUAAGCAUGGGAAAAUGGGUCUACUACUGGAUAGUGUGGGAUGGGCCCGGGGCCAAUCAGCUUGUUGGGGGAGUAAUGGCCUACCAAGGCGGCGACGGGUAGCCGGCCUGAGAGGGUGGACAGCCACAUUGGGACUGAGACACGGACCAGACUCGUACGGGAGGCAGCAGUGGGGAAUAUUGCACAAUGGGCGGAAGCCUGAUGCAGCGACGCCGCGUGGGGGAUGACGGCCUUCGGGUUGUAAACUCCUUUCACCAUCGACGCGGUAGAUGGAGAAGAAGCACCGGCUAACUACGUGCCAGCAGCCGCGGUAAUUC